AAUUAUGGUGGGCUGGGCAAGGCAGCUUUAUGCUGGCCGUAUCCUUGGAAGCGGUAGUCUCAACCUUGCUCAGUUCACCACCCAU
rnacentral:antisense_RNA from 1 species